AGCUGUGGCUGGGGAUUAUGGGAGUUGUUGUCCAAAAGCAGCUGGUGGGGGAAGGGGGCCAAAGUUGAGCAGGCCCGACCUAGACUUUGAGAGAGAAGGAUAUUACAGCGAUAUCACGGAGAGGGAGAGCGGCUCUCCCCCGCUCCCUUCUCUCGCUUCCCAUGAAGACGUGGAGGGCCGCACAGCAGUCCUGAGGCCUAGCAGUUGAGGGGGGAACCAACCCAUACGGAGGCGGGUGGCAGCUCCCUGCCUCUCCUCUGCGGAUCAAGCAGUGCCCUCUUCCCCUGCUGGGUGCAGGGCGGGCGUGGGUGGGGACGUGCUGCUCCUUCUGCUCCUUCUGAGCAAGCAGCUUGGCCUUGGCUUGCUGAGGCACCGGGCUGGAGUCAGAGAAGUGCCCAGACAGCCGCAGUCCAGAGGCCUGGCCAGCCUCGGAGGUCCACAUAUGGUGGAGCAAUAUAAUGGUGGGGGAGAAUAGGCCCCCCCCCCGCCUCCCAAGGCAUCCAGGCUAUGGGGCCUAUAUAGGUUUGAGGGGGCGCCUAAGUGAUAUGAAUUCGGUUCGUCCCUGGGUCCGCCUUUUAGCCAAUCAAACAGACUCGGAAUACUUUUGAGGCUUUUAUUGCACUGCAGUUGCAACAGGUUCCGAUAUGGUGCAAGGUCCAGGGGAAUGUCAAGUGUAUCAAAAGUUCAUCAGAAUGUAGACCAGCUUCAGCAAAAUGCAGGCUUUUAUGGACUGCUCCAGAAUAUGGAGCCCUCGUUGAACAGAUUCAGAUAUUUGGAAUUUCAGCUCUGCAGGAAGUCAUUUCCGCAGCGUGGAAACCGGUGAAAGCAGAAGCAACUUGCCAGUCGAAGGCUUGGAGCAUUUACAAGCCCACACCAGCACUGCAAGAGUGUGCAAGUCCACCAGCACUGCAAGAGUGUGCAAAACUGUGCAAGUCCAUUUUAAGAAAGAGACCCUUCCCUGGGGAAGUGAUGGAGCUAAGUCUCUUCCCCAGGCAACACCUUAAAAUCUGGCAGUCUGCUCCCAGAAGCCGCUGGAGCACCAUUCCUUUAGUGUGGCCAUUCCCAGCUCUUGGGAUCCCUCUCAGAGUUUCUGGCUCAGUGUGCUCAGAGCUAUCCAAGGCCUGUAACACUCCUGGAUCCCUACCCUGGUCAGCAUCUAGUGGGGCAAGUACUGGAGGAGAGAACAGGAAAAGGUGCAGAAGAGGGCAGCCAAGAAGAUCAGGGGCCUGGAGCACCUUCCGCAUGAGGCAAGGCUACAGCAUCUGGGACUCUAGUUUGGAAAAGAGGCAGCUACUUGGAGACAUGAUAGAAGUGUAUAAAAUUAUGCAUGGAAUAGAGAAACACUUGAACCAGGGGUCAUCCCAUGAAACUGAAGGCCAGGAAAUUUAGGACCAACAGAUGGAAGUGCUUUUUCACACAACGCAUAAUUAAUCUAGGGAAUUCUGACAUUAUG